AUACCGUGAAACUGCGAAUGGCUCAUUAAAUCAGUUAUCGUUUAUUUGAUAGUACCUUACUACUUGGAUAACCGUGGUAAUUCUAGAGCUAAUACAUGCUGAAAACCCCGACUUCGGAAGGGGUGUAUUUAUUAGAUAAAAAACCAAUGCCCUCCGGGGCUCCUUGGUGAUUCAUAAUAACUUCUCAGAUCGCAUGGCCUUGCGCCGGCGACGGUUCAUUCAAAUUUCUGCCCUAUCAACUUUCGAUGGUAAGGUAUUGGCUUACCAUGGUUUCAACGGGUAACGGGGAAUUAGGGUUCGAUUCCGGAGAGGGAGCCUGAGAAACGGCUACCACAUCCAAGGAAGGCAGCAGGCGCGCAAAUUACCCAAUCCCGACACGGGGAGGUAGUGACAAUAAAUACUGAUACAGGGCUCUUUUGGGUCUUGUAAUUGGAAUGAGUACAAUUUAAACCUCUUAACGAGGAACAAUUGGAGGGCAAGUCUGGUGCCAGCAGCCGCGGUAAUUCCAGCUCCAAUAGCGUAUAUUAAAGUUGUUGCAGUUAAAAAGCUCGUAGUUGAACCUUUGGCCUGGCUGGCAGGUCCGCCUCACCGCGUGCACUUGUCCGGCCGGGCCUUCUCUUCUGGAGAACCGCAUGCCCUUCACUGGGUGUGUUGGGGACCAGGACUUUUACUUUGAAAAAAUUAGAGUGUUCAAAGCAGGCCUUUGCUCGAAUACGUUAGCAUGGAAUAAUAGAAUAGGACGUGCGGUCCUAUUUUGUUGGUUUCUAGGACCGCCGUAAUGAUUAAUAGGGACAGUCGGGGGCAUCAGUAUUCAAUUGUCAGAGGUGAAAUUCUUGGAUUUAUUGAAGACUAACUACUGC
rnacentral:rRNA from 1 species